rnacentral:lncRNA from 1 species
GACUUCUUCAGCGGCUGUCCUCCCUCGCUUUUGGAGCUCCGACCUCAGCUUCGCCUGCGAGCUGGGUUGUGUAAAGGCUGGUCAUUUUGGGGCGCUUAGGGGUGGGUGCCGGGGGGCGCGCUUUCCCUCGUGAAGGUCGCUCCAGGAGUCAUGCGUACAUUCGUUCAUUUUGCUCUGGACGCACUGAUGUUCCCGGCUCGCCGCCGUGCCGCAGUCACGAGGCUCUCCGAACGCCUUUCACUGUGUUUCUGUUUACAUUCGCGUCUGCAAGACCCGGCGGCGCGACCGAGGCCCGAACAGAUGGGGUCUUGCUGUGUUGCCCAGGCUGGGCUUGAACUCCUGGACUCAGACGAUCCUCCCGCCUCGGCCUCCCAAAGUGCUGGAAUUACAGAUGGAGAUGGGCUGCCAUGUUGUGAGCUGCCCCAUGGGGAAGAGGCUCACAUGUGAGGAACUGAGGGAGGCCUCCAGAAAACAGCCAGUGAAGAACUGAGACCCUCAGUCCAAUAGCCUAUGAGGAACUGAAUCCUGCUGACAACCAUAUGAAUGAGCUUGGAAGCAGAUCCUUCCCCAGUGAAGCCUUCAUGUGAGACUGCAGCCCACUUGACACUUUGAUUUGUAGCUUGUGACAGACCCCAAGCCAGAAGAGUCAGUUCCUGUUCACAGUUUUGACCUCUUCCUCCAUUUUCUCUGAUGUUUAGCUGAUUUUUACCGUCUGUUCCAUCAUCCAGUUCUCCAAGGUGUUCAUUUUGACAUCCAGCCUGACACUUCCUUCGCACUUUUGUGGCACCUCUAGCACUGCCACUUGCUUGGUUUUUGACAGCUGGUACCAUCAACAAACAAAUGCCUUGGGGAAGAAAACAUGUCAAUUCGCAU